rnacentral:rRNA from 1 species
GACGAACGCUGGCGGCGUGCCUAAUACAUGCAAGUCGAACGCAGUGGGGACGGGUGAGUAACACGUGGGUAACCUCCCAUCAGAGGGGAUAACACUUGGAAACAGGUGCUAAACCGAUACUGAUGGAUGGACCCGCGGUGCAUGAGCUAGUUGGUGAGGUAACGGCUCACCAAGGCCACGAUGCAUAGCCGACAUGAGAGGGUGAUCGGCAACACUGGGACGGAGACACGGCCCAGACGCCUACGGGAGGCAGCAGUAGGGAAUAUUGCACAAUGGGCGCAAGCCUGAUGCAGCCAUGCCGCGGGUAUGAAGAAGGCAUUAGGGUUGUAAAGUACUUUCAGCGGGGAGGCGUUACCCGCAGAAGAAGCACCGGCUAACUCCGUGCCAGCAGCCGCGGUAAUAC